GGGGAUUUAGCUCAGUGGUAGAGCGCUUGCCUAGGAAGCGCAAGGCCCUGGGUUCGGUCCCCAGCUCCUCCG
rfam:Rattus norvegicus chromosome 1, whole genome shotgun sequence.